GACGAACGCUGGCGGCGUGCUUAACACAUGCAAGUCGAACGGAAAGGCCCUUUUGGCGGUACUCUAGUGGCGAACGGUUGCGUAACACGUGAGUAACCUUCCCUUUACUUCUUUAUAACUUCAGUAAACUGGGGCUAAUACCGGUUAGGAAUCCUUGCUCCUUGGUGGGGGUUGGAAAGCUUGUGCGGCCUUGGAUGGACUCACGGCUUAUCAGCUUGUUGGUGGGGUAGUGGGUUACCAAGGCUUUGACGGGUAGCCGGCCUGAGAGUGCGAGCGGCCGCAUUGAGACUGAGAUGAGGCAGAGACUCCUACGGGAGGAAGAAGUGGGGAAGAUUGAACAAGGGGCAGAAGCCUGAUGAAGAAAGGCCGCGUGCGGGAAGACGGCCUUCGGGUUGUAAAACACUUUCAGCAGGGGCGAAGCUUGUGGUGACGGUACCUGAAGAAGAAGCACCGGCUAACUACGUG
rnacentral:rRNA from 1 species